AGCAUAAGCCCAAGCCCACCGAUGAUGGAGAGCCAGAGCCCAACCUGAGAGCCGGUGACAGUGCCCACCACAAGGGAGCAAGCCAUGCACAGUGUGAGUGCGGAGAGGAGCUCCGUCCCCUGCACCGCGGCUGAGGGUGAGCAAACUAUGGAACACCAAAAGGGCCAAAAUGAGGAGGAAGAUCUUAUUGAUUGGGAAUCUGAACUGGAGGUUGAACUGCCCCCUCUCUUCUCUCCGUCAUCUCCGCUGGUCCCAUCUAGCCCUUCUUCAAACUUUUUUUCCUCGUCCAGCCCUGAGGGGGCUUCCAAUCCUCCAGUGCCCACUCCUAGAAAGUGUCCUCCAGUGCCCGGUCCUAGAAAGUGUCCUCCAGUGGUUGUUCCUCCAAAAUGCCUGCCCUCCCACCCGCUCCUGCCUCCUCCACCGCUGUCAUCUGGCAGCCCCUCUGCUCACCCUCAGCCCACCAUCUAUGCGGUGCGAGCCCCGCGGGACUGCCAUCCUCCAGCAUUGCCGUGGUUGGAGUCUCCCUCACCUCCGCCUCCAGCCUCCGAGGCCCGGACUCUGCCCCGGCCCAUAGUCCCAGUGGCUCCAGCUCAGCUCCUAGCUCCCUCGCCUCCACCAUCAACCAUCGAUCCAUCAGCUCCGCCUGGCUCCCUUGUCCCUCCGGCUCCACCUUGGUUGGGCGUUGACCCACCAUCGCCUCUGGACUCCUCUCCACUAGCUGUGCCUAGUUGCUCCAUCCCACCAGCUCCGUUGGGCUCCUUCCUCCCGCCAGCUCCACCUUGGUCCUCAGUCGCUCUGGCUCUGCCACGGAUCUCUGGAUCUCCGCCUCGGUCACCAGAGCCCUCGGCUCCACCCUGGCCCCCCAGAUCCUUGACAUCCCCCUGGCUCGUUGGCUCUCUGCCUCGGAUUCCUCCUCCACCUGCUCCGCCGCUGUUGGUCGGCCCCCUGGAGUCGGCGGCCAUUCCUCCAUGGCUCCACCCACUGUCGGCUCCACUGUGGGCCAUCAUUAAGGCUCCUCCUGUCUCCUCCCUGGCUCCUCCCUCUGUCGUCUUCUUCCUGGCUCCUCCCUCCAUGGUCUCUGUCUGCCAGCCCUCUCCCGGGGGUCCGUCCUCCACCAGAACCUCCUCCCAAGUUCCCACCCAAGCCUCCCUCUGUUGUUACUGCUGUGCGAGGACGCACCUUCCGGUAGGGGAGUGAAAUGUAAUGAUUAUGGACCUGUGUGUUUUUGCCCCUGUGACCUAGUUUCUGUCUCACGUGGUUUGUUAAUUUGGUUCCAGGUGUAUCUAUUUUCUUCCCCAUGUCCCUGUUAAUCUAGUCAUUCCAUACACCUGUUUCCCCUAUUAUCCUACCUUUUAUAACACCUAGUCCUUUCUGUUCAGUUUUGUUGGGUCUACAAGUCAAGUACAUGUAUCUUCCUCCUGUCUUCCAUGUUGGAUUUACCCCUUGUUGGAUUAAUAAAGACUUUUCCGAUUAUCCUUAGCUCAGUGUUCCUUCCGGCACAGUAGCGUGACACUAUGUGCUUUUAAUAUUUAGCUUUAUUUUUUAUUUCAGUAAUUUUAGUCCAUCUAAUUUUAUUUCAAUAAGUUGUUACGUUCUAAUUACAU
ensembl:lncRNA